UUUAGUCUCUAAAUUAUAUAUUAUUAAAAAGGUUGAGGGUAUUGUAUGUGACAAAGCUGUUCUCUUGUGUUAUAGAACUCAUUGAAGCUUAGCUGAAGACUACAAGUGAGGAUCAGUAGAUGGGAGCCAGUAGCCCUACCUCAUUGUUGUCAUGAGUUACCAUGAGUUAUCAUCAGUGACUGAAGCCUUUGAAGUCAGCAAGACAUCUACUGUUAUCCUUGUUUUACAGAGUCUCCCAAAUACUGAGCUAAUUCUGGCAAUUCAUGAAUCAAUCUCAUCAUCUAUGUAUGUGGAAAUCCCUGGAAAGUAUAAUGCCAAGGUAAGUGAGCUUAUUCACAGCAUUGAAAAUUUCUCCAUUUGCUGUGACUGAUGAUUCCCU
rnacentral:lncRNA from 1 species